GAUGAACGCUGGCGGCGUGCUUAACACAUGCAAGUCGAACGAAGCACUGUUGAUAGAUUCUUCGGAUGAUAGAUACAGUGACUGAGUGGCGGACGGGUGAGUAACGCGUGGGUAACCUGCCUCAUACAGGGGGAUAACAGUUAGAAAUGACUGCUAAUACCGCAUAAGCGCACAGGACCGCAUGGUCUGGUGUGAAAAACUCCGGUGGUAUGAGAUGGACCCGCGUCUGAUUAGCUAGUUGGUGGGGUAACGGCCCACCAAGGCGACGAUCAGUAGCCGACCUGAGAGGGUGACCGGCCACAUUGGGACUGAGACACGGCCAAACUCCUACGGGAGGCAGCAGUGGGGAAUAUUGCACAAUGGGCGAAAGCCUGAUGCAGCGACGCCGCGUGAGCGAAGAAGUAUUUCGGUAUGUAAAGCUCUAUCAGCAGGGAAGAAAAUGACGGUACCUGACUAAGAAGCACCGGCUAAAUACGUGCCAGCAGCCGCCGUAAAAC
rnacentral:rRNA from 1 species